UUAUUUUUGUUUUUGGUUAAUUUGAUAAAUGCCACCCCAAAUCUGGUGUUUCCAAGAAAUGCCACUGCAAUUUCCAAAAUUUGAAAAAUGCCAUUUCAUGCCAUUUCCAGUGGCAUUUUUCGAAGUCUGGAGUGGCGUUUUUCGAAGUUUGCAAAUUGCAGUGGCGUUUUCCAAAGUUUGCAAAAAUUGCAGUGGCAUUUUUCAAAGUUUGGAAAUUGCAGUGGAAUUUUUAUGAAUUGCCAUAAUUGGAGUGGCAUUUAUCUAAUUUGUUUUUGAGACGGAAGCAGGGUGUCAACUGGGCUGUGCGGGGCACUCUGGCCUGUCUAGACAGCCUUCUCUUUUAUGUUUACCACACACCAGCCUAGUAGUUUUUUUUUCUUUCUGAAAAUGGCUAGCCCCGUUUUUUUUUUGUGAUUUUCCAAGUAAGUCGCUUUGUCAGGCUUGUUGGGCUGCAAAUCUUUGAAGACGAGGAGAGCUUCAUUCGGCUGGACGAGAAAAUUGCCUAUCAGUAAUGAGAAAUGGGAUGUACAUUUUUAAAACACAUCAAACCGGCAAUUAGUUUCAAAUUUCUUUUUUUCAUUUCGAGAUUUUAAAUUGCAUUAAUUUUUAUGCGUGGACAAUUUGUUGGAUUUUAUAUUGAUAUACAUUUAUUUUUUAAAUCAGUUUGAAUGUGACUCAAAAUUUCGGGAUUAAAAACAGUUCGGACCGCACCGAAAUAUGCAAAAUUCCGUAUAAUUUUUUAACCGUGGCCACAAUAUGGGCUGUAAUGCUAACAAAAAGAAUAUGGGCUCCAAAAAAACCUUAAGAAUUAGCAAAUGAGCUGUAAAUUAUUAGAAAUAAUGGCAGAUGGGUUGUAUGCUGUUUUCCACAUAUUUGAGGCUUUCCUAAAAAAAGUUUGAUGCACAAGCAGUGACUGUUGGAUGUCCAUCCAACGGCCGUGGUGCUUCUUCAAUCUCUGCUCUUCUUGCUCCAGCCGCUCAAACAAGCGCCGGCGGGAUUGCCUGCUCCCUCCUCCCCAUGGCCGGCUGUGCUGUCGCGCAGGCCUCACCGCCCCACCGUACUCCCAUCGCUGGCCUAGCCAUCCCUCUACUCACCCACACCUGCUAUUAUUCUCCGACGACAGCAGACGAACCAGUAAACCCUCGUACAGUCGUACUCCCCCCCCCCACCGCGUGGGAAACAACUGCCGAGUCUUCCCUGCCUCCGUGUCGUUCACUUCCUAGGCCUCGCCGUCAUCCACCGCCCUGGUGCUCUCGGGGCGGCCUGGUCAACGUGGUCAACGACCGACAUGCAUCUGAAGUGGACUGUACGUGGAGAGGCUGACAGCUGGGUCAACGGCCACACGCAAGGAAAUGCCUCCGUAUUACGCGCAAAAUAAUGAUUCCUCCACCUGACAUCUGGGACCCACCGAAAGGGCCUCUAUAUUUCGCGAAGAAAACGUUACCGCCGCUGACAGCUCGGACCCACCAGCUAUAUCUUCGCACACAAGGAAGUGCGUCCUUAUUACGCACACAAAAAAUGAAUACUCCCCCUGCUAGCUGGGACCCGUUAUAGUGGCAGGCUGACUUGUGGGCCUACUAAGUUGACGGGGACGGAGGGCUUUGUCAACUUAGUCAAUAUGCACGAUUCUAGCUCCAGUGACCGUACGAUGUCCAUCCAACGGCCGUACGUAGUGCUUCUUCAACCUCUGGUCUUCUUGCUCCAGCCGCCCAAACCAGCGCCGGUCGUGCCUCGUGCUCCUGCCUCUCGUGGCCGGCUGCGAUGCGGCGGAGGCCUCACUGCCCCCACUACUCCCACCACUGGCCAGGCCAUCCCUCUACUCACCCACACCCCCUGUUAUUCUGCGGCGGCGGCAGUAUCACACCGCAGCGAACCAGUGAACCCUCAUACUCCUCUACGCGUGGGCAUCCACUGCCGCGUCUUCACCGGCUCCGCAUCGUCCCCUUCCUAGGCCUCGCCAUCAUCCACCGCCCUGGUGCUCUCGGUGGCGGCGUGGUCAACGUGGUCAAGGAACGACUUCCAUCAGAAGAGUACUGUACGUGGAGAGGCUGACAGCUGGGUCCACGGCAGCCGCAAGGAAGUGCCUCCUUAUUACGCGGAAAAUAAUUAUUCCUCCACCUGACAGCAGGGACCCAUCGGACGGGCCACCGUAUUUGGCGAAAAAAUGUUCCCCCCUGACUGCUGGGACCCACCGGACGGGCCACCGUAUUUCGCGAAAAAAAUGUUCCCCCCGCUGUCAGCUCGGACCCACCGGAAGUGCCGCCUUAUUACACACAAAAAAAUGAAUACUCCCCCUUCUAGUUGGGACCCACCUUGGUGGGUGGCUGACUUGUGGGCCUACUAAGUUGACUGGGAUGGAGUGCUUUGUCAACUUAGUCAAUAUGAACGAUUCUAGCUCCAGUGACCGUACGAUGUCCAUCCAACGGCCGUAGUGCUUCUUCAACCUCUGGUCUUUUUGCUCCAGCCGCCCAAAGCAGCGCCGGUCGUGCCGGUGCUCCUGCCUCCUGUGGCCGGUUGUGCUGCCGCGGAGGCCUCACCGCCCCCUACUAUUCCCACCGCUAGCCAGGCCCUGCGGCGAUGGCAGCCUCACACCGCAGCCGAACCAGUGAACCCUCGUACUCCUCUCCGCGCGGGCUUCCACUGCCGCGUCUUCCCCGGCUCUGCAUCAUCCCCUUCCUAGGCCUCGCCGUCGUCCAUUGCCCUGGUGCGCUCGGCGCGGGGUGGUCAACGUGGUCAAGGAACGACUUCCAUCGGAAGAGUACUGUACGUGGAGAGACUGACAGCUGGGUCCACGGCCGUAGCAAGGAAGUGCCUCCUUAUUACGCACAAAAUAAGUAUUCCUCCACCUGACAGCGGGGACCCACCGGACGGGCCACCGUAUUUUGCGAAAAAACGUUUCCCCCUGACUGCUGGGACCCACCAGCUACAUCUUCGCACGCAAAGAAGUGCGCCCGGGCAAAAAAACGAUUCGCCCCCUGACUGCUGGGACCCACCAGCCACAUCUUCGCACGCAAGGAAGUGCCUGACAGUCGGGACCCACCUGGUCGAAGCGUACGUAGCAUUGUCAUUCUGGUCGCAAACAUGUAUGUACAUACUGGUUGAUGUAGAGGCGCGCACGUGUCGUAGUAGAGGCGCGCACUUAGCAUGUACACGUACGUACAGCGGCCAGGGUGCAAGAAAGUAAAUACGGCCACGUAUGUACAUACGGGCGGGGUCUCGAACGCCUACUCGCGCGUACGUACGGCCAGGGCUCGUGUACAUGGUUGGGUCGGAACGAAGAAACAGCGUCGUCGUCGUGUUCAUGGGGAGCCAACCGGCUGGGUCGGAACGGAAUGCGUCGUCGUGUUCAUCGGGAGGGCUUGGACGGAACAGCUGAUGGAAACGAGGCCUGGCGUACCGCAGAAUGGAGGAAACGGCAUUGUGUUCGACCGGCCACGUUCGAAACGGGAUCCUGUUCAUCGGGAGGGGUCUGGCAUACCGCAAAACGGAGGAAACGGACCUCCUACGGUCAAAACAGGGGUCCUGUUGAUCGGGAGGGGUGUGGCGUACCGCAAAACGGAGGAAACGGACUUAUGUUGGAGCGCUACGGUCGAAACGGGGGUCCUGUUCAUCGGGAGGGGUGUGGCGUACCGCAAAACGGGACUCCACGGGAUACUGUUCAUCUCCACCGUCGACCCCCUCCAGCCUCCACGGGCUACUGUUCAUCCACUGUCGACCUCCUCCAGCCUCCACCUACGACUGUUCAUCCACGGGCUCCUGUUCAUCGAGCCUCCACCGCGCGCUACUCCACCGGCUACUGUUCAACCAGCCCUCUCCACGGGCUCCUGUUCAACCACCCCUCCACGGGCUACUGUUCAUCCAGCCCUCCACCGUCUACUGUACAUCCUGCCCUCCACGGGGUCCUGUUCAUCCAGCCCCAACCGGCUCGAUCGAUCGGGGUCAUGUUCAUCCAGAGGCAACACCACGGGGUCCUGUUCAUCCACCCCCACCGGGAACUGUUCAUCCAAACCCCCCAGCAACACUCACUGUUCACCCAGAGGCAGCAUCGAUCGGCUUCAGUUAGCAGCAGUAGCGAAGGAAUCACUCGAUCGGGUUCAGUUAACAGCCAUCGAUCGAUCGCUCGGGUUCAGUAACGCGUAGGCUGCAGUGCAAUCGCUCGGGUUCAGUUAGAGCCCAACGCCUCGCUCGGGUUCAGUUAGAGCCCAACGCCUCGCACCCACGCGCGUGCGUGUACGAGAGAAACGCGCAUCGCUCGGCCCCGACCACCCACCGUAACCGGGAACACCCCGAUAUUUUCCUCGCCCUCGCUUCUACCACGGUUUUUUCCGUCAUGGACGGCCCAAAGAAUGUCAUGCAGCUGCGUCUCCGGCCCGCCCAGGACGGAAAGCCCAUUUUCUGUCAUGAUUUUUUGUCAUAGAAUUAGGACCCCACCACAUCUAUGAUGAUAUCGUGUUUUGUCACAAUUAUUGUCAUAAAAGUGUCAUAAGUAUGACAGAAAAAAUUUCGUUCGGCCCAAAAUGUCACGGAUGUGUCUUUUUUUUGUAGUGCGAGCUGCCGGCCAACCAUCUCAGCGGCACGAAGCUACCCCAGAAGCUACCCCGCCAUCUCAGCAGAGAAGCAGCAUGGCUUCCACGGAUCUCGUUCAGCCUAACUUCACGGCUCCUAGCUACACCGUGGAUACUAUCACGGAGGCUGAACAUUGCCAGCUUAUGACGAAAUGCCAGAACCUCACUUUGAAGGCGGCUGUCGGCUCUGUUGCACCUCCUCAACCCGACAGAACUUUUCACUGCCGUCCGAUUCCACAUGGCUAUGCUGUUGUGAUGGUGGAUGAAGUAAUGGAGGGAUUUGAGGAGCUCGAGCUUGACCACCCUACAGGUGAAGGGGAUAAUCAGCUAGGGCUUGCUCUGAGGACUCCAUGUCUAUGUCGGAAGGAGUACAUCAAGCUUCCAAACUGGACGCCUCCGCCGCCUCCUCCUCCUCCGGCGAGUCAGGGACUCCGCCUCCUCCUCCUCCUCUGGCGAGUGAUCAAGGCACUGCACCUCCUUCUCCAGCUCCUCCGGCGCGUGAGGCCACUCCGCCUCUUCCUUCGCCUGCUUCGGCACGUCGGAGCACCCCGCCUCAUCAGCAACGGCGGAAGACAGACGCCGCCGCUCCGGCUCCUCCUACGCGUCGGAGCACUCCGCCUCCUUCUCCGCCUCGUAAGCAACAACGGAAGAGAGACGCCGCUGCUCCGGCAGCUAGCAGUACAAGAAGAGGCGGGAGGCGGCAAUACAGAUACGGUCCAUCUCUCAAGACUCCGAAAAAGUUACCAUAUGAGAGGACCGAGAAGGAAAACGCAGAGAUCUGUGAAGCCCAAGUGAGGGAAUUUUUGCAAAGAAACCUCCACCUCCGAAGCAGACGAUAUAUCCGGUGAAAGCGAAGCGCACUAUCGAUGCCCUGAAGCGACCACGGCCGCCUCCGCCGGAUUCCAACUAUGUCCGUGUUCUUAAAAAUAGUAUAUGCAGAUGUGCAGCGGUCGGGAACUACUUUCAGUGAUAAAAGGUUAGCAGAAUGAAGAAGUUGGAAAAAAAUUCCCCAGGUCGGUGAACAGGCGAACCAGUCGUGCCCCCCGCUCAAGGUGUCUAGCGAUAUCGUCGCAAAUCUGCCGGGGAUGGUGCCCGGUACCAAUCCUUGUGAUUACCUGGGCGAUGAUGUAGAGUUUAAAACAAUGGAGGUGGACGAAUUCAGAUACCAAUACGGGAAGCCUCUUGUCAAAGAUGGUCGUCCUCCUCUAUAAACGAUGAUGUGAAGAUUCCAUGAUUGGUACAUGAAAACCUGUAGGGAGUCUGGGAAGGAUACUUUGCAGCUGAGAAUUAAAGAGGAGCACGACCUCGUUGGAAUGGAUCUGUUGUCUGUUGAAUUUGACGAGUUAUUCCAGUUAUACAAUCAAAAGGCCCUCGACAAAACACUCGUGACUUGCUACUGUCUGUAAGUACUACUUCUGUAAUUAAGUCUCUGUAUAUAGCUCAGCUCUUUCAUUGCAUGUGUAUAUAUAAUUAUCCUCACUGUAUUAUGCAAAUUGAAAAUCGUCGAAUGCAGAAAAGCACAAAUCUAUGACAUUGGGUUCAUUAAUGCAAAUGUCAUACAUGAAUGGACGGUUAAAAAGAAUGUCAAAGAAACCGAGGACAACUUGCUACAAUCGUUGCUCAAAAAUCAAAACAAAGAUAAAAUACUCUUUCACUUGUUACAACUUCAAGUGAGUGUUACUGUCUUGUGCAUAUUCGGUUUCCCUUAUUACUCGAGGUUGUAGUAAUGUAAUUGAUGAGUUAUGCAUGCGUGCGCAGGUUCCACUUUAUUCUCCUAGAGAUUAAGCUUGAGCGGGGAGUAGUAACCGUCUUAGACUCGAGACGAAAAGAUCUCGAGGACUAUGCGGACAUGACUCAAAUGCUCCAGAAGUAAGUUCAGUCAAUCAUUAACGCACCAUAUCGGCAACUUUGUUCAGUUCCUAAUAUCAAGUAAUUAUUUUCUUUGUCUCGCAGGGUUUGGAAAGAGUUCAUCGUAAUUGCUCCGGGACUGCCGAGCGAGCUGCGAUUUACACACCCGACAGUAAGUACUAGCUACUACCUAGUUCCGCGCAUCUCCCAUUGAUUCUAACUACUUUCAUCAAUACCAUUUAGCAUGCUUGCUUAUCAGUUUGAUUGACCUCUAUUUCUCCUACAGUGCUUGUGGCAGGAAGCCGGGAAUGAUUUUUGUGGAUACUAUGUUUGCGACUUCAUCCGCCACUCGACCUGUGAGCGGGGCUACCCUGAAAAAUAAUGUGAAGUACGUAAGCAAAAAUAUUCACAAUUUUAUUUUAUUACCAUCAUUUGUGUUGAGUUUUAUUCAUAUACAUGUAUUGGCCCUCUUCUUCAAUUUAGAUCUGGCAGAUGCGGGAUGAACUCCUACCACAAGAUCACAUACGAGCAAUUCAAGAGGAAUUGUCGGGAUUCUUUCUUGACCACGUCAUCAAUAAAGACGGAGAAUACCAUGUGGAAUUUGACAUUAGAUGUUAGGCAUUGUAAGAGAUCUUAUAUUGUAUAUAUGUAGCUAGUAGCGUCGGAUAGAUAUACGAAAACUAGUUGUUCGACAAAUCUCUCGGAGAAAGAGAGGUGCAGUCCUCUCUGUAUAUGUUCAUGACGAUCUUGUGUAAUUAAUGGUUCCUUCAUUUGCUUACUAGCUAGCGUGUCGAGUUAUCUCUAUACGUAUAGUAGUUAGCGUCGACAAAGCACGGAGAUAAGAGAGGUCACUUCUCUCUAUUAGCUAGCUAACACAAUAUAUGAAACCCCUAAAUUAACCCUCCAAAACCCCCUAACCCCCCCCCUUAAAAAAACAAACAAAAACCCCUGCUCCUACCAGCUGCCGACGCAUGGAUGCCUUUUGGUCCCGGUUGGUAUUACCAACCGGGACUAAAGGUGCUCCUGCAUGGGCGCCUCGCAGCGGCCACGUGGAGCCCCUUCUGUCCCGGUUCGUAAGAGAACCGGGACUAAAGGUUUUGGACUUUAGCCCCGACCCUUUAGUCCCGAUUCCAGAACCGGGACUAAUGGGCCUCUGAAACCGAGACAAAUGGCCCGUUUUCUACUAGUGGUAGUAAUCCAGUCAAGGUAUGUCUAGGGGAAGAACGCGGCAUCACAACCUAAAGUGGAAGCUAUAGAGGCUGUCAUGACUUGAUCAACAUGCAUUGGGAUGAAAUUCGUUUUUUGAAAGUUGAUUGAUAGACCCGUGGCUAGGAGAAGUCUUCAAGAAUUCUUUUUAGAUGUUGUGCAGACGAAUUAGAAGCUUUGGCAAUGAUCAACGUGGCGGCGUAGUAUUGUAGGGUCACAUGUGGUAGAUGGUGAUAGAGCGGGUGGCAAACAUUAUUUGGGUUUUGUUUCUGGAUUAUGAGUUGUUGAAGGAUGUCCGCAGUUAUGAUGAAUAGGUAGGGAGGAACUGGAUUGCCCUGCUGUAGAUCAUGUUUGCAAGGGUAACAGAUGCAUGUGCAUUUCAGUGGAAAACAAACUUCACUUAGUCAAAUCAAGACUUAUUAAAAAAAAUCAUAGCAAAAACACUAUAUACAUAGCUCACAAAAGUGGAUCAUGCGUUACACUACUUAAUCAAUGACAAGUUAGUCCGGACAAAUCAUCUCAGUGCAACUGUUUACGCAUUUUUUUGAGAUAGUGUUCCGUAAGUUUACUUUUGGCAUUGGCGAUCAGAUUCAGCUGGGGAUAUAACUCCAAGGCUCGGAAACGAGCACACAACGGAGCACCCAACAAAGUGUAACAUCGUCACUCACAACAUAUAUACAGAAAACAGCUCCACCUAGUCGAAUCCAGGCCUAACAAAACAAAACAAAUCAAAUCAAGUUAGCAAAGCAGCGGAGCCGCCAAUCUUACCUUGUAGGAGUACACUAUAGCGUACUGAAGUGGACGGUAUACGUUACACUAAUUAUUAAUUAAUGAUGAUCACUUAGUCCGCCAAGUCCUCUAAGUGUAAACAUCAAGAAUAUAUUAGUAGUAGUACUACACUAAUUAAUUAAUGGUCACUUAGUCCGGCAAGUCCUCUUUAGCGGCAUCAGGAAAAUAUUAUUUACGCUUGCAGGAACACUAUAUAUUCCGCAGGGAGCUUGGUUAGUUGCAGUUCAUCACAAGCCAUCUACCUACACGGCUACACGUGUAGAAUAACGCACGCACACACACAUGGCUCCUCACGCUCUCUCUUGGAUUAGUGUGUCUCUGCUCAUCUUCUUGGCGUCGUCGUCAUGCGCUGCGGCGAGGGGCGCCCGGGCACCCAAAACCACUGACCCGACGGCCGGGUUCACGGCGGUGAGACUCGACGAGCGCAACUUCGCCCUGCAGCGGCCGUUUGACGAGGCAACCGGCGCCCGGUACAGUUUUGACGGCACCGUGCGGAAGCUGUGGGUGCUCUCCUCCGACAAACCCCAUGCCCGCCAGAGCCAUACGAGCCCAAGAACUGAGAUCAGGAUGGCAGUACGUGUCAGCUAUUACUACUUCUACUUAACAUGUGCUCACUCCGUCCCAUAUUAUAUUAUGGGACGAAGUAGUAUUUGGGUAUAUAUAAUCAGAGAUCUUAUUGGUUGCUUCUGCUAUUCUUCUACCUGCAGGGAUACGACUACAGCUCUGGCGUGUGGCAGUUUGAGGGCCACGGCUACGUCCCCUCAGGCACGACCGGGGUGUCCAUCAUGCAGGUGUUCGGCGCCGGCGAGACAGCCACCACCCUCAUGCUGCACGUCUACAACGGUGGGCUGCGGUACUACGACCGCCAGGUCGUGGAAGACGACAUCUAUGACAGAUGGUUCCGGCUUAACGUGGUCCACGACGUCAAGGCGUCGACGGUGACUGUGUACAUCGACGGCAAGCAGAAGCUGCACGUCCAUGGCCGUGGUGGCGACUCACAUUACUUCAAGUUUGGUGUGUACGCGCAGAACCAUGACUCCAGGUGCAUGGAGUCUCGCUGGAAGGGGAUCAGGAUCCUCAAGAAAGAGUGACACAUUGGUUCGAUCAGAUUUUAUGGCCGAUUACAUUUUUUUCUUGUAUAUAAUAUAUUUAUGUUGUUGCCUUAUAUAUCAUAGUGGCUGUGUAUUGUUUGUGGACUUAUGAUAUGUACUAGUACAUAUGAGGCUGAGUAUAUAUGUUAUUUGUUUGUGGUAAUUUAGUUUUUCUUUAAUGUCCCGAUGAUGUUUUAGAUUAGAUGUGAAAAUAAUAUUCGCUACAGAAUGCGUACACAGUUAGCAUGUGUACAUGAAUAAGUUUGUAACUAAUAAUGUAAAAAUAUAUCCUGAGAAUGGAAAUAAAUUACAAUAAACCAAAUUUUAACAAAUCACACCCGCAGCAAAUAAAAUAUUCUACUGACUCUGUGCUUGAUUAGAAAGCGUAUGAAUUUUGUCUGAAGUCAAACAGUGUAAAGUAUGACAACAUUUUUAGUAAAAACUAUUAACAACCACAAUAUUAAUUAAUUAGAUAUGAAAAAAUUAUUUAUUGUAUAUUUAAUGAUAUUAUUUUGGUAUUGUAAUUUCAACCAAAUCCUUGAUGCAAUAUGCUUUAAUAACCUGAUGAUGCAUGUGAAAACAAUAUUCGUCACAGUACGCAUACAUAGUUGCCAUUUUUGCAGAUGUAUACUUAGUAAAUAAUAUUAAAAAUGGAACGAAUAUUGUUCCGCGGAAAUAGUCCGGUUUCUAAGCAGUGUAUGUUAAAACUUUUGUGAAACAUUCUCAAAUUUACAACAACAAAUUGAUGUCAUAUAUGAGGGAACCAUGCCAAGUUUCAUGUUUUUCAAAUUUUUACCACAACAAAUUGAUGUCAUAUAAUGUCACAAUUUUUUAUAUCACAAACAUUUUUGAAUCGGCGAACAUUUUUUGAAAUAUUGGAACAAUUUUUUUAAAAUUCACAAACAUUUUUUGAAUCAGCAAACAUUUAAAAAAAUUGGAACAAUAUCUAAAAUUCAUGAACAUAUUUUUUUUGAAUUCAUGAAUGUUUUUGAAUUUGUGAACAAUUUUUUAUUUUAGAAAGAUUUUAAUAGAAAGCGGGCGGAAAUCUAAAAAAAACUAUCAAAAAACCUCAUUUUUGCAACAAAGAAACGUUGAAAACCAAUAUAAAUAUAUUAGAGCAUCUCCAACAGCCGCGCUAUAUAAGCGCCGCGCCACAAAUUAGUGGUUUUUAGCGCGCGCGCAAUAGGUAAACUAGCUCCAGCGGAGGCGCAAUUACCGCGCGCGCGGCAUAAAGUGUUCAGCAUGGGAGGCGGUGGCAUUGGCGGCAUGGGAGGCAGUGGCAUUGGUGGCUUCAGAGCUACCAUGGGCGGCAUGAGUGGUAUGGGUGGUUUCGGAGCUACCGUGGAGGCCAUGAGAGGCAUGGGUGGCUUCGGAGUUACCAUGAGAGGCAUGAGCUUUGCGUCUCUCAUGGGAGGUAUGGGAGCACCUCUGGGCGGAAUGCCUUCCGGUGUGCCUCAUCACACACCUUCCGUUGACGAUCUUGCCAACACCAUCCGAGCUCCCGAUGACGAUGCGGUGCUUCAAAAUGAAGAGGAGAAGGAAGAAUCGUCUUCGGAUGAGGAAGAUGAAUCGGAGGAAGAGGAGUACGAAGACGAGGAUGAGGCAUGAAGUGCCAUUCGUUUGUGUGAACUUUGUCAUGAACUUCGGAUUUUGAACUUGGUUGGAUGAUGUUGUGGGCAUGAAUUUGAAAUUUUAUGUCAUGAACUUGUUUGGGUUUAUGUUUUUGUUUUCAUGUUUCAAACAUCAUCAUCUCCAAAACUCCAUAUGGCAAGCGCCAGCUGCUCACGCGCGCUGCGGUUUUAGCGCGCCUGCUGGAGCAGCUCGCAAACGCUAAAAUUUACAGCGGCUGCUGGAGCAAGCGCACCGAGCCGCGCUAAAACAGGCGAUCCUCACGCUGCAAAUGGGUUUUUAGCGCGCCGCACGUAGCGUGGCUGUUGGAGAUGCUCUUAGGAAAGUCCAGUAGCGCUCGUUGUCCUAGUUGGGCCAGGAAAAAAUCAUGAUUGCAGGAGGAAGGGUGCGCAUUUCCUCGCUGUUGAGUAUCGUGAUUAUUAGGAAAGUUAGGAUAGUGUAGGAUAUUAUUCUACCUUGCCUUGUACUCCAAGAUAAUCAUGUACUCCUAUAUAUAUGCUCACGAGCCUCAAGCAAUACAACGAACUAUUCCAUCAAACCUCUCUCUUCUUUCUAACAUGGUAUCAGCCUAAUCUCGAUCCAAACCCUAGCCGUCGUCGUUUCCGCUCCGCGCGCCGCCCCCGGGGCGGUCGGCCUUCAUGACCGCCGCCGGGGUCGCGCCGCCCGUACCUAGGGUUUGUCCGCCAGUCGUGUUUACCGGCUGCCCUAGAGAGUCUUUUUCCCCGAUCGCUUGAUCCGGAUUUUUUUGUCCGUCGCCGAUCGUUUUGACCGGUGUUUCUUUUUGGUUUUUCGAUCUAAAGAUCGGUUUGAGUAACCCAUCGUCUGUCGAUCUUUUGCACGCAUCUGCUUCAACCUUGACAAUGACUACACGCUAGCACGCGGCUACUCUGGAACUCCCGCGUACAUACGCGCGUCGUUCCGGCCCGGCAUGCAUCCACCGAGAUCGGCUACUGCGGCGGCCGCUCGCAGCCUCUUGCGCUAGCCCGUCGUCCGGCAACGGAGUGGCCUCUGGCCGCUCCCACGCGGACGUUCGCUCGCAUGCGCGCAUGGUCUGCUGCUCAGUUGCCCACGCAGAUCCACCGAUCCAAUCAUGGAGGCUUGUGCCCGUGCAUGCAGGUGUUUGCAUGUGGUGCAUCCUCUAGGAGAUCCAGUGAAAAUCGUCUGGUAUACAGUAUACGUGCUUCUUCUCCAAUCGAGCAGUGGCUGCCGCUGCGUUGUCCCUUCGGACCGCAGCGUCGUCGCACCAUGGGUUUUCCCCAGCUGUAUCGAUCCGCGUGCUGCCGCUGCGUCGCCUCUUCGGACCGUAGUACCGCGGUCCACGGUCUACCAUCAUCCCGAUGUCGUCCGCUCCAGGACGUUCUCGUGGCUGCACCGACCCUCGCGCUGCCGCUGCGUCGCUCCGUCGGGCCGUAGCGAGCGUGACACGCGGUCCAUGCCGCCAUCCCGUGGUUCUCCCCGCGGCUGCACCGACCCGCGCGCUACCGAUGCGUCGCCCUUUCGGGCCGUAGUGCCACGGCCCACAGUCGACCGCCGCCCUGAGGCCGUCCGCUCCAGGCCGUCCCCGAGGCUGCAUCGACCCUCGCGCUGCCGCUGCGUCGCCCCGUUGGGCCGUAACGAGCGUGGCACGCGGUCCCUGCAACCGCCCAGAGGUCUUCCCCGCCGUCGCCCCGACCAACGCGCUGUCGCCGCAUCGCCCCUUCGGGUCGUAGCGUCGCGGCGCACGGUCCACUUCGCCGUCCCCGCGCGUCGACUUCUACGUGGUAUGUGUCGCGCCUCCUUCCUAGGCGCGGGAACGCCACCAUCCGCGCCGGUCUUCGUCACGCUGUCGGGUUCUUCCUCGCAUACUUCGAGCAAUACAACGAACUAUUCCACCAAACUUCUCUCUUCCUUCUAACACUGGCUACUCCCCUCGUAGGUCGAGGAAUAGGAGAUCCCCUCCAUGACUUCUUUGGGUUGUCACAGUGGCGGAGCUUCACGGGGUCAACCUUGGCCACCCACCACCCCAGCCCAUGAAGAAAUCUCCUAAUACUCUUUAGUAUUUGGGCCAUAAGUGCGGUAAAACAACCCAAACCUCGUAAUUUUGCCCACCCUCAGCCCUUUCCCCUUCAAAGAUUUGGCCUUAGCUCCGCCACUAAGUCAUCACAUUUCUAUAUGAAUCCAUCAUCAGAUGCCUUGAGUAAAUAUUAAUUGAACCUGGCCUCGUUUUAUCCCAUGCUCUGGAUCAACCCGUCACCUCUCCUCGUCGUGCCUAGACGGUGGCACCUCUCUGCAAUGUACCUCCUCGCUGCAUUGCAAGGAUGAAGGAGGCAAUGGUUUGCUUCAUCACCGGCAAUCGCAGGGCCACCGAGGUAGCCCACUGUGUAAGGACAACCCCAAUCAUCAUAGUGUACUGCGUGUACAUGAAAGAUCAUGGUGAUGCUAACAAUUUCUCCUAAAACAUCCCCGAGAAUAAUAAUUGAAUAAAUUUCAACAGAGAAGCUGAUAUUACAGGGAAGAACGCUAACGGGUCGCCAUUCUCAAAGAGGAAGGUGCUAACGCUGGAAGUGGCAAUGGGGUACACUGUCAUUGCCAUGAUGCCAAUCCCCGUCGUGCAGUCGGAUCUUCCUAAACCGGCUAAAAAGGUGUUUUAGUUAGUUUCCUACUUAUUUUUCUGCUCGUUAUUUUUUCAGCCCGCACAUUUCGGAAAACUGCCGCACUUAGGGGCAUUUUUUCUGCCGGUUUUCAUGAAACCGGUUGUAAUCAAAGUUUUAAAUAGCCAGCUAUAGAGGUUUGAGCAAGGUGUCACUAAAUAGUAUUCAUGUGUGAUUGUUCAAUAAGAUUACAAAAUAGCGACCUAUAGCCCCGCUAUGGCCGCGCUAUAGUUGUUUGAGCAGGGUGCCACUAUUUAAAAACUAUGGUUGUGACGAGGAAUCAAAAUUCGAUUUAUUAGUAGUGAAAGAAGUACAUACUGGGAACGUACUUUUAUAAACUAAUCCAUAUGUAUAUUUAUGGUUUUCAAGUAUACUCCUUGCAGCGCCUCCUACUCCGCCAGGUCCGCGUCCGGCGCGACCGCCCUGCCAGCGGUGACCUGCUCCUCCGCCUGCAGAUGCUCCUGGAGGAGGUUGUGGUUGUAGUUGGCGUCGGCCUGCGCCUCCUGGAACUGCUACUCCCGCACCAUGUCCAUAUGAUGGGUACAGGCCUCGCCGAUGGUCAUGGUGCAAUACACCGGCGAGGGUGGAGCGGAGGAGGAGGGUGCCACGGAAAAAGAGGAGGGUGGCGCUGGCUCGUCAUCGGAGGCGUCCUCCAUUUGCACGUCCUCUGGCUGGCUGCUGGCCUGCCAGUCGGCAGCAAUGGCGGCCAUGGCCUUCUUCUACUCCAACGUAAGCCUGUCCAAGAGAGUUUUGGCCGCGGGGGGAUCUAUGGCGGGGAGUGGUGGGUUGACUGUGGCUAUGGCCGGGGCAGUGGUUUAUAUAGCACCGGCGGGCGGUAGUUGAACGGACGAGUAGCGUCGGAGGAGACGCCUCGGCAACCGCGUGCCAUCAAUACGGGCCGCAGACGGACGGACGUGCGGCCGUCGUGUCGUUUGAACGUGCGGCAGUCGCUUGCACUGGGAAGUGGCGCGGGCGGCGCUCUCUCGACCGGCACCCCGCUUCAAUGCCGGUGCCAGUGACUGGUCGCGUUCGCUCUGGGCGGGCAUGAAUGCGGGCGCUGACGAUCAGGAGCGGCGCUGACCUAAAACACGAGAGAGGGUGAUGGGUUUUUGGUGGGCCAGGGCGGUCAGAAACGGGCUUGGGAUCGGUCCGGACUCCCACAAACCUCCCCCACUUUUGUCUCCGGUUUGCGGGAGAAAUCGCGUCCGAACCGCGCCACGGACCGAUGCAGGCCCGCGUCGGAUGGCUUCCACGGUGCGGACCGUUGCGGGAGAUUUGCGGGUCGGUGUUGGAGAUGCCUUAACAAUACUUAUGCAAGACUACACUUUUACUUUCACUGAGCAAAGGGAGUAAUGAUGUGAUGCUCAUGGUAAUAUAUUGCAACGAAAUCACGAAGUACUCCAACAUUACAACAGCGAUGCAUGCAUCCUGACAACAGGUCAUAACAAGAAAACUAAAUUUGCGGCAACAAUAGUACACCCUAUAUUGCCACACAGUACUUUCUCACUGCAAUAUUCCCAUGCAUGUACCACAGCAAUAUUUUGUUUCUGCUGCAGUAACCUGCAUGUCACAUUGCAAGCUAGAGAAUUAUUAAGUACUAGCUAAUGCUAAAAGUAAGUGAAGGGAAACCGUACGUGGCAAUGAAACUGCCACGGAUUAUUCGUCGUUGCAAUACUGCCAUAGGAAGGUCGAUCAUCAUUCUGCGAGAAGAGUGGAGUUGGCGGUGAUGGCGCCGGCAAAGACAGCGUCACAGCCGCCGCUCUGGCAGCCUGCACCGCAAUAGCCCGGGCCGAUGCCACAGGAUCCCCACUUGCUACAACAGUAGUUGUUAGUGCAAACCCUGCCGCCGGCGUCCUUGCCGCACGGCUUGUCGGUGCUGCAAGCACCGCUCUGGCAGCCACCGCCGCAGAACUCGGAACCUAGGCCGCAGAAUCCCCACUGGCUGCAGCAGAGGUUGUUCGGGCAUAGCUUGCCGCCGGACUGGCUGCCGCACUUGAUGUCGGCGCGGCAGGGGCCGCCCUGGCAGCCGGCGCCGCAGUACUCGGCUCCGAAGCCGCAGUGCCCGUACUGGCUGCAGCAGUGGUUGUUGGGACACGUCGCCCCGCCGGCCUGGCUGCCGCAGCGCUUGCUGGUCCAGCAGGCGCCGUUCUGGCAGCCCUUGCCGCAGUAGUCGCCGCCCAUGCCGCAGUACCCGUACUGGCUGCAGCAGAGGUUGUUGGGGCACUCCAUGUUGCUGCCCUGCUCGCCGCACCUCUGGGCCUGCGCGGUCGCCGCGGCGAAGGCGAGGAAGACAGCCGCGCCGAGCGUAAGGGCCAUGGUGCUCAUCAUCUUUCUCAUUAUUUCUCUUGGUGCUGGUUGUGCAGUUGUGU
rnacentral:lncRNA from 1 species